GGUGCUGUAGUGUAGUGGUGAUCAUAAUUCGUUGUGGUGGUUCCCACCCAGCAAAUCCGAAUUGACCUGGGUUCGAUUCCCAGCAGCGCCA
rfam:Aspergillus oryzae RIB40 DNA, chromosome 7.